AACAGUGUUUUUCAAAUCCAUUUACGUUCUACCUGUCAAAGUGUAAACCGAGUCUCAAAAGUGGUGUCGAGUGUAUUUUUCUUUGGUUACCAUCCAAGUUUCCCGAUUCGAAGUGCCAAAGUACGCUUUACGUAACCACAUUCGCAAACGUAUAGUUCGUUGUAGACCACCACACUAGAACAAUAAAAUUAUCAAACAUCGCCGUUUAUUGUUCAGAAAAAUUUCUUCAUAUGUAACAUAGAUAAUUUAAUAAGAACUUCGUUGUCGUCAAAUAGUUAUUAUACGGGGGCCUUAUUAAGAUAAAGAUUAUAUUGUGUUAGCCGUAAAGAUAAAGGAUUUUAUUGUUGUUGUGUGUAGAAAAGGCGGUAUUGUUGAAGUUUUUCGCGUAUUUCCUGUCGAAGUGUCGGUUCAUCAAUUCACUCGUCACUGACUUCAGUGCGACCGACGGGAAGCUUCAUUCAAGAAUCGUGUUUUGAAGAAGAAGAAACAUGUCCAACGACUUUGUGAAUUUUAAGAUCCGCGAGGAAUGCGAGAUCUUCCAGUGGUCCGACAAGCAGCUACGAGAGAUCAUGGUGCGCCUCCACAGCGCUAUUGAGAAAGGCCUCGGCAGAGAUACCCAUGAAUCCUCCAUCGUCAAGUGCUGGAUCACUUACAUUCAAGACUUACCCAAUGGAAAAGAACGCGGUAAAUUUUUGGCGUUAGAUUUGGGCGGAACCAACUUCAGAGUAUUAAUAAUAAAUUUAGGCGAUAAUCACUUCGACAUGCAGUCCAAAAUUUAUGCCAUACCUCAACACAUCAUGACUGGUACUGGAUUAGCUCUGUUCGAUCACAUAGCCGAGUGCUUAGCCAAUUUUAUGAAGGAACACGGAGUGUAUGAAGAACGUUUGGCGCUCGGAUUUACAUUCAGUUUCCCGUUAAAACAACUUGGUCUCACGAAAGGCAUUUUACAACGUUGGACCAAAGGAUUCUCUUGCUCUGGCGUUGUCGGCACAGAUGUCGUCCAGGGAUUAAAAGACGCCAUCGCGAGACGUGGAGACGUACAGAUUGACAUAUGCGCUAUUCUGAAUGACACCACGGGUACAUUGAUGUCUUGCGCGUGGAAAAACCACAACUGCAAAAUAGGACUCAUCGUUGGUACUGGCAGCAACGCGUGCUAUGUUGAGAAGACGGAAGCCUGUGAGACAUUUGAAGGUGGCUUGAGCAAACAAGACAUGGUUGUAAACACAGAGUGGGGAGCAUUUGGAGAUGAUGGAGCACUUGACUUUGUACGCACAGAGUUCGACCGCGAAAUCGACCAACAUUCCGUUAACCCAGGCAAACAAAUCCAGGAGAAGAUGAUAUCUGGCAUGUAUCUGGGAGAACUAGUCCGUCUUGCGCUCGUGAAGUUCACGCGGAUGGGUCUACUCUUUGGAGGUCGCGGCUCGGACCUUUUCUUCCAACGAGGCAGCUUCUACACUAAAUACGUUUCUGAAAUCGAGUCUGACAAACCUGGAGAUUUCAUGAGCUGCAUGGAGGUGCUUGAGGAAUUGGGGUUGUCCCAUGCGACGGAGGCUGACAUGGCGGCCGUGCGACACGUCUGCGAAUGCGUCUCGCGGCGGGCCGCGCACCUUGUGUCGGCCGGGCUCGCGGUCCUCCUCAACAAGAUGGGCGAGCCGCGCGUCACCGUCGGCAUCGACGGCUCCGUCUACAGGUUCCACCCGCACUUCCACGCGCUCAUGUGCGAGAAGAUCGCACAGCUGAUCCGGCCCGGGCUACAGUUUGACCUCAUGCUGUCAGAGGACGGCAGCGGGCGCGGGGCGGCGCUAGUGGCGGCGGUGGCGUGUCGUGAGAUCCAAAAUGCCGCGUAAGCCGCUGACUCUCUCCGUCCCACUGUACCUACCUUCACCACCGACAUGGCUGGGAUCUCACGUUUCCUCGGUUAGGCCGUAGCUCGAGUGAGGCUUUCCCAAAGAUUUUGGCUUCUAACAUUUUUAACAGUUGUGACCAAAGUAUUUAUUUCGAUCUGAUGGAAACAGCCCGGACUAGAUGCUGGACAUCUGUUUUUUUUUUUUUUUUUUGGAGACGGAAUUAAUGGUACAUACUAAAAUUUAAUCAGCUUUUUUCUCCCAUACGUUCGGGUUACAUAAUUAGGAUAAUGUAGAGUAUUAAUAGCCUUAAAGUAGCGCACCAAAGACGCGAAUGCGCUUGUCCGGUCUGACGACGGUUAGAUAGAUUUAAUACAUGUUAUUGGUCUCAAAUAUAUCUUAGGGAAAUCGCCUCUAGUGGUCGGAGCAUUUUAAUGUAUGCAAAUGUAUAUGGGUCAGUAGUUGAAAAGAUCGCUUCCGGUGAUAUUUUGGAAAGUCUUCUGCUUAUGAGUACUACUACUCUAUGUACCAAAAGUACUUUUUAGAUGGACACUAAGAUCCUAACUUAAAAACUUUUAUAUCGAUGUCGAAAAGAUUUUAUUGUACUUAUAUUUGUAAUAGUCUAGUCACAAUUAUACCAGGAUUAAGUUAUCUGUUGUUACAUCUUCUUCAGUCUUCAUUUUCGUUUCACCAUUUGUUUAUUGAGGGUAUUUGUGAAAGACUGAACACUAUCCAUAUGCUUGUCCUGGUUUUUACACUUGUAAUAAUAUUGAUCUUAGUGUCGGUCUGCGCGCUCUGCAUUCCCGUUCGCAGUUUCGUAGCCAGCAUUGCAGAGAUCUGGCCCAACCAUCAACGAUAUGUUUCCUUUUAUUAGCAAUAAGUAGAUAAAAAAUGCACUUUAACGGAGAGAAAGCUAUAUUUUAUAACGAUGUUGAAGUUUGAGUAAGAAAAUAUUGUUAAAUAUAUUGUUAGUCUUAUACAGAACAUCACAUACGAAAAGCAAACUAUCUGUUGAUACCAUAUUUAUUUAAGUAUUUUUAUACAAAUCAUUAAACAAAAAAAAACGAAUAUUUAGCACAAGCUACCCUAAGUCCAAGACUUAUGCAUUGUGAUGCCAUAAGAAAAUAUUUAGAGGACUUAUAGGUAACAUAUUGUAUGUAACAUUACACGAGAAUCUCAGUUAGUUCUUUGCGGAUAUUGUAAGUGUAGUGAGCCAUUGUUUUUGAUCAUUCCAUUUAUAGGACACCACAAGUAAUCACUCUCAUUUGUAUGGACAAGCUUGACAUUUGCAAGACAAGUUGAUAGCAACUGGCAUUCAAAUAGGCAGGUUCUAAGUAUAACACAACACAAGGUAGUUUGCAAUUUCUAUUAGUUCGUAUUUGUUUAUUGAUCACUUACUGUCAGGAGAUUUUAUAAAAAGAUCCAAAAAUGACAGAUUUAAUCCCAGGUAGAAAACACUGCAUUAAUAUAACUUUAGUUUAUUGAUAUUUAACUGUGAUAGAGCUAGAAAUAUGUUAUAAAAAUUUUUCGUUAGUCUUUGUUAUCUAAAAGGUCUUAAUUUUUGGUGAUAUGUUUGACAUAGUUACUUAAUAAUAUCUACAAAAACAAUGACAUAGCAUAGUUUAAAGAUUAGGUACAAAAGGCAAAAUUGUGGAAACAUCUGGUUGUUUUUAAAAUGUAUAUUCGAUCAAUAUUUACUUAAUUACUACCGUCACGUAUGCCCUUUUAAUCCAUAACAUCAUUAGUAGUUCCUAGUUUUCAAUAGGUGCAUUUUAAGUAUGUAUACCUACGUAUAUUGCGUAUUGUCAGUAUGAGUUUGUUGCAUUGCAUGCUAUGUAACACAGUUGUUAUUUUAAAUUAUUUAGAAUUAAGUACUCCUUUAAGAUAUUUAGUAUCUACGCAGCGCAUACUAAAUAGAUAAUAGUCUGUUAUUUAUUUAGCAGACUAAAAAUAAUACUGAGUAUAAUCGAGUGAAAUUAUUGCGCUCUUAAAUUACUAAGUUGUAUACCUAUAAUUAAUCAUCUAUAUGAUUUGCUCAAAGCUCCAAUCAAGAAAACCGUUUUAUGUUUUCAAUUUCUUAUUUAGACGUUAAAAUUAAUCCAACCACCCGAAGAAUGCACAAAUAAACCGGUGUACAUUUAGUAUACAUUCGAUUCAUCUGGAUCAUGACUCGUUGAGCAGUAUUGUGUAUAUUUUAAUGAGUUACAACGCUACAUCUGUGUCCGCGUGAAACGGCUAGUUUUACAUUCCAUAGGGCUUUUGAAGCUCCUAGGUUCAGUAUAGUCGUAUGAAUUCAUCGAAAAUCUAACCCAAACAGCAGAAAUGUACACACAUAUCACAUCUGUCAUUAUGAGACAAUAAUCAUGGAUCCGUUGUAUGUAAAUAGGUUUAGAAUUUUGUUUGUUUGGCCUGGCGCCCGAUUUGGUUAUUGCUUCAUUACACAUUGUGUAAAUUAUAAUUUUGAAUAGAAAUCUAUAUAUACUAAAUAUCAUGAAAUCAUGAAAUAAUUUAUGUGAAAGAGAUAAUGAAUGUACCUAGAUAGUUCUUUUUUGUGUGAGAGCUGUGAGCAAUGUUACUUAUUUCAAGAAUAAAUUUAUAUAAAUUUACC